UGCUUUUAAAGCAGAGACACUAACAGCAGGUCUUCCAGUCCCUCCAGUGUGACUUAAGUGACAUGCUAGCAAGAGACGCAACGUGGUCCCUCAAUAGUGCUAAAAAUCUGUUAUUUGAAAGAAUAACUUCUAAAAAUCAAAGUUUAUAUAACCACUGAAACAAACACUGAGAUCGGCCAGAUUUCACUCUCCUUCAUAUGACAAUCAGUGACAGACUCUUUCAAUCUGCCAAAAACUGGACUGGAAUUGCAAACAUUCACUUGGCCACCUCAGAGGAGAAACUGAACAAACAGCAGCAACCCUCUUCCAGAAUGUUAGAGCUCCCUCACCUAAGACCUAAAAGAAGCAAAAGCAAAGUUUUUCACUGGUUUUAGAGAAAUAACGCUUUAGAUAUAAGCAAGCAUCACCUACAGAAUUAGGUGAGAUCUGUACCCAUGAAUCUAGGCCUUUCUACCUCUGAUCACUUGUUUAGUACAAUCUUACCUGCUAACUUUCCUAAAGUAACUUAUUUACCAAUCACAACGGAAAAACCCAAGACAAUAUUCUCAGAAGGCUUCGGAACCCAAGUUCUCCUUCACGUGCUCAACUACUAAGAAGGCUUUAGUUUCCAUGUAUCCACUAUUUAACUGAACAAAUUUGUAAGCCCUCAUCACCAACAUGAAGCUGCAGCAGAAAGAAAAUGACACAGUUCCCAUCACCAUCAAGCUUACAAAGUGGGUAUGGGAGAGAUGGGAGAACCAUAUCAUACGGUAGACUGUGAUAAAAGUCACAGGACCACUUGUUCAGGCUCUUCAUCGAAAGAGAAAUAUAAAUGCAGACAAAGCCGCCAUAGUCUGUGCUACAAUGAUAUCUUCCACACAUUCUGAGCUGUGUUACUUACCCUACAAUGGAAAUCCAAAUGGUCUAACUAUCAAACACCUGGAUUAGUGGGUAUGGAAAAUGGAAUGGAUAAUCCAAAGCAGCCUUACUAAUAAUUAACUAUUGCUUCUACAAUGUAUUAUGAUUCAACAAAGAAAGCUUUUAAUCACUUAUAUUUUGCUUAUACUAUUAAUAAAGCCACAAUAUGCCCUAAGAACAUA